UUAUUGAGGUGUUGGGCCCUCCGGCGAUCAGCGAGGCCGGGGCCCCGCGCCGAGGCCUCCCCCAAUGCACUGCGGGUGGCUGAAGCGCGCCACCUGCCCCAACCUGGGGUAGGUAGGGCACCUAAUCUUUGGUAGUGGGGGCUUGGCGUGCGUGCCGGCCCCUA